UGGAGUAAAGUCCUUAAUUCGUAUGAAAUUAAUUUAAGUUUAAAAGGUUUUUAAAAUUCAAAAUUUUCGAAAUCCGGCAAAGUGUAUUGGUAGCCACAGUUUUAAAAUCGAUUACAGGUUUUCGAUCUUUCUCCAAAAUUUAUCAAAACUUCUCAUUUCUCUUUCUUAAAACCUGUUACAGGACACGUUUGUUCUCGACGAUUUAUAUGGAAAAUGAAAAGGAAAAGAAAAUAAAAGGGUUAAUGGCUUUUGGAAGGAGCUGCAACAAUCCGAAGAGGCCACUGUUCUU
rnacentral:lncRNA from 1 species